ACUAAGAGGGAUGUACUUGCCAUAAGUACAGAGUCAGAGAAGGAAAUAUACACUGGUUGGUCUUCUGACCAUUUAUUAACUUGUGCAGGAUUUCACAAGACAGUUCUUUUAACUUGUGCUAAAUAUCUUAUACAUUGUCAGGGAGGGGGCUCUUGUGGCAUGUGGUAGAGUCGAUAAUUCUGAGUCAGGAGGACUGGGUUCAAGUUCCAUUUACUCCAGAGAAUCUGCUUAUGCCUUGCAGCUAGAUUCCCAUGACAUUACUUCUGCCUACGCGACCUCAAAUAUAUCCAGCUGGAACUGGCAACUCUGAUUACAACAUUGAGGUUUUACUGCAUUUGGACAUGGACUGCUCUUAUGUAUAUGAGUUGCGAAUGGUACUGAACAUUGUGCAAUCAUCAGCAGACAUUGCCACUUACAAUUUAAUGACGAACAGAGGCUGAUUCAUGAAGCAGCUGAAGAUGUUUGGGUCGCAGAGAUGUCCUGGAGCCGGAUGACUGAUCUCCAACAUGCCAGAGAAUAUGAAGGAAAAAUUCCAGUCACAGUAGUAUCAGGAGGAAGAAGGGUGAGAGGAACUCUGCAAAAUUAAAUCACGAGGGGAAUGGUACCAAACAAACUGCUGAAGAUGCAGGCUGACAAAUCAACUUCCCUGAUAAUGGUUCAAAUGGCUUUUCUAAUACAUUCUAGAAAUCUCAGGAAAAAUCCAAAGGGUUGGCAAAACUAUAAUGGUCAAUAUUUCUUCAAGCCUGGAAAAGGGAAGAUAUUCAGCUUUUAAAACGUACAUGUUAUCGCUAACCUUUUUCAGAAGAAAUAUGAGUAUUAGUAUGAUUAGAUAUACAUAUUUGAAAUGAAAAAUGCAACUUGGCCCAAAAUGGUACCAAUGCAUUUUGAUCGUGAUAGCAUGUGAGUAAUGAUGGAAACAAGUUCACCAGGAUGUUGUAAAUCUUCAUCAGCUUUUUAUUAGGAGUGAGGAAAUAUAAAAUUUGUUUUAUAAGAUUUUAUUCUCAUUAGAGAACACACAAAGUCAAGUGUUCAAGGACACAGCCCUAAUGACACACAGUCAUAUCAUGAUAAUAUGGAUCUGUUUAUCAAUCUGGGACCAAAAAAAUGUUAUUCAAUCACAAAUGGUUUAAUCAUUUAUAAUUAAAUGGAUACCAACAUAGGCCAAUCAUUAAGGUUAGCAAAUGGAAAACGUGAACUGCAAUCAAAAAUUAUGUCACUUAUUAGUUGUAGAUUUUUAAAAUUCCAGUAAACUAUAGAACAUGCAGAAAAAAAAAUCUACAGAAGUGCUGAAAUAUGACCUGUUUGGAAUGUUGUUCACUAGAUCAUCAUUCAAAUCUACAUUCAACAAUGCACUAUUUCUUUAUCAGGGAUAUAGAUACCCCUGACAUGACUAUAUAGUUAAAAAUAAUGUUGUUGGAACUGUAAAACAAUUCAGCUUUACCUUCUCAACCAAAGGCUGGAGCAUUUACAAAAAGUGCCUGAACAAGCACAGCAUAUUGAGAAAUAUAUCAAAAUCAACUCUGCAUUCAACUAUUAGUGGCUUGUGUUUGGGGUAAUUUGCUGCCAUGAGUCCUUCCUUCUACCAUUUUAAAUUAUACAUCAAUCAAAAUCUAAUUAAAGUCAUAAUUAAAUUAAACAAAACAAAAUAGAAUUAGCUGUCCCUGAGGGGAAAUUACAAAAUUUGUAAUUUGGAGAAACUUAGCAAAUUGAAAGAAAAAUAUUGUUUAGGGGGCUUUAUUUGUUGAAAUUAAUAAUAUGGUUUAGGCAGCCCUAUGUGGGGCUGAAAGAAAAAGAUGAGGUCAAGGGAUUACAAAAUGAAACUUACCAAAAUUAUAACAUAGUAUCAUUACAGGGGUGAUGAUACACCCCAGCACCUGUGUUCUAAUGACCUCUAUAGUGCAAGUAGACUCAGCAUUUUUCCUUUCAAUAGACACGCAAGCACAUACAUAACCACCUAACAGGGACAGACAGUGGGGUACUAUGAGCCUCUCUGUGGUCUGUUGCCUGGACCUGUUUAUUGAUGGGCACCUUGGCCAGGUCCAACAGCAGCCUCUCCAGAAGGUCCUCUGAUCUGCAUACACCCCUUCCCACAUAAUGCCCGUAAUUUUGGAGCAUGGGGCUGACGUGCAACAAAAAAAAUUAAAAGCAUUCCCUUUAAGAAACUAAGCAAGGACUGCAAACGAAAACAUUAGACAAAAACAUGUGACCCUACCCCUGUUUCAGAAGGCCCAAGUUCAAGUGACCUGCUCCAGAGGUGUGUUAUAACAUCUUUGAACAGGUUGAUUAGAAAAAUAAGUUAAUUUUUUUAAAAAAUGUAAGCAUGGAACACACAGUUUCCUCCACAAAAAGGUACAUGUGACCUAGCGCCUAAUGAAAAUAUUCAACAGUCUAUUGCAUGGACUACUGCAUACAAAACUCCCCACCCCAGAACCGAAUGGAAUGAGUGAGGACCGCCUUAUAGAGGUGCUCCACUAGGGAUCUCUAGUGCCGGAGGUAGAAAGUACUUGGGUGGCAGACAAAAGUGAAGAAGUGGAAAACAUGAAGCAGCAGCACGUAGAGGAUAUGAUCCUGUGCCGUUUUGAAGGGCAUAGACUGAGGUUCCCUCGGAUGGCUAAGGCUGUGGGUCGCUGCAACUGCAGAGAGGGUCUUGUAUAUGGGGUCAAUGACAAGGUCUGGACAAACAGAACUCAGUUCAUCCAGAAGCUGAGUGCACACCUGAGCUACCUUGAUCCCUUUUGCAUUCUCAGGAUUAAGUACCAGGGUCAGGAGGCUCUGGAUGGUUGGGCCAUGUACACGAUGUUAACUGACACUUUCAGAGACAAUUGCGCUGGCAUCAUCCAGCUCACUCCUCUGCCUCUAUUGGGACCCCAUGCAAGAUUGCACAAUUCUCCACUCAAAGAAUGUGUUACACCAACACAAUACAUGGAGCUAAUGCAACUUCAACAUCAAUUCUCUCAGAACCUUUGAAAGAAACACCAACUUUCUAACACAAAGCAAUCCUUGUAAUAUCAAAAUUAUAGCAACAAAAUAUAAUUUUGUUCUGGUGGAUUAAUGCUUAAAAACCACAAAUUAUUUGCUUUCCCAAUGUUUAAGACUAAUGAGGAUAAACCAAGUGAAAUCAGCAGGAAUGACUCAAAAUCAAAAAUGAAUAUAAAAAGCAACUUGCAUUUAUAAGGUGGCUUAAAUAUAGUAAAGCAUCCCAAGGUCUUUGCAGGAGUGUUAACAGAAAAGCUUUGAGAAUAUAAGGGCAUAUUAGGAUGGAUGAUCAAAAAAAAAAUGGGGUUAGUUAAACGGAAGAGAAAAAGAGAGAAAACAGCAAGUUUAAUAUACCUGAAACACUUCCAAAAUAUGAUCUAUUUCCAAACUUCCUACAAAUCCUGCCCAUCUCUAGCAUUCAAUGAUUACGGAGAAUUUUCAAUUCUGCAUUCUGGCUGUAUUCUAUAUUUUCUAACUUUUAAGAACUACUUCAAUUUAGUUCAGAAGUCAAUGAUUACACAUAACUUGCUCCAGGCAUCUGUUCAUAUUAAACAUUAAACUGUAUUAUCAAUUGAUCUAUGAUAACAAAUUGCAUCAUCAAUGCAGCCAGAUAGGAACAUGUGAGGAAGCCGUCAUUAUGAAACAUAAUCAGAAAUUAAAAUGUUUACAGAAUGCAUAAUUACUGUCCAUUGCACCAGUUAAAUAUUUAAAAACUACCGCACGCAGAACUGUUUCUUAAGCAAGCUUAUCUCAAACUCAGUAAACAAGAAUUGCUGCCAUAACUGCUCUUUCUAACCAUGCCUGGAGGCUUAUAGGGUUUUGAAUUCAUUUUUUUAAAAACAUUCAAACUUUAAGAAAAUCAACAAUUUUUCAUAAAAAACCAAUAGAACUGCUGAUGCUGUAAUUCAGAAACAAAAACAGAAGUUGCUGGAAAAGCUCAGCAUGUCUGGCAACAUCUAUGGUAAGAAAUCAGAGUUAACGUUGGGGCUCCUGUGACCCUUCAUCAGAACAGUUUUCCAUACCCG